rnacentral:rRNA from 1 species
AGCGCGGGGGCAACCCUGGCGGCGAGCGGCGAACGGGUGAGUAACAUAUCGGAACGUACCCUAUCGUGGGGGAUAACACAGCGAAAGCUGUGCUAAUACCGCAUACGACCUGAGGGUGAAAGCGGGGGAUCGCAAGACCUCGCGCGAUAGGAGCGGCCGAUAUCGGAUUAGCUAGUUGGUGAGGUAAAGGCUCACCAAGGCGACGAUCCGUAGCGGGUCUGAGAGGACGACCCGCCACACUGGAACUGAGACACGGUCCAGACUCCUACGGGAGGCAGCAGUGGGGAAUUUUGGACAAUGGGGGCAACCCUGAUCCAGCCAUUCCGCGUGAGUGAAGAAGGCCUUCGGGUUGUAAAGCUCUUUCAGCAGGAACGAAACGGUGGCUACUAAUACUAGCUACUAAUGACGGUACCUGAAGAAGAAGCACCGGCUAACUACGUGCCAGCAGCCGCGGUAAUACGUAGGGUGCGAGCGUUAAUCGGAAUUACUGGGCGUAAAGCGUGCGCAGGCGGUUAUGUAAGACAGGUGUGAAAUCCCCGGGCUCAACCUGGGAACUGCGCUUGUGACUGCAUAACUCGAGUGUGGCAGAGGGGGGUGGAAUUCCACGUGUAGCAGUGAAAUGCGUAGAGAUGUGGAGGAACACCGAUGGCGAAGGCAGCCCCCUGGGUCAACACUGACGCUCAUGCACGAAAGCGUGGGGAGCAAACAGGAUUAGAUACCCUGGUAGUCC